rnacentral:tRNA from 1 species
GGGUGUGUGGCCUAAUGGAUAAGGCACCAGACUUCGGAUCUGGGGAUUGCAGGUUCGAGUCCUGUCACGCUCG